rnacentral:tRNA from 1 species
GCAGCCAUGCUGUAGCUGGUCAUCACGUGUGCCUCACACGCACAAGGUCCCCAGUUUGAGCCUGGUGGCUGCA